CCCCGGCGUAAAGAGUGGUUAAGUUUAAACGCACACUAAAGCCGAACAUCCUCAAGGCUGUUAUACGCACCCGAAGAUAAGAAGUUCAACCACGAAGGUGCUUUAUUUAAUCUGAACCCACGAAAGCUACGGCACAAACUGGGAUUAGAUACCCCACUAUGCCUAGCCCUAAACAUUGAUAGUACCCUACGCCCACUAUCCGCCUGGGAACUACGAGCAUCAGCUUAAAACCCAAAGGACUUGGCGGUGCUUUAGAUCCACCUAGAGGAGCCUGUUCUAGAACCGAUAACCCCCGUUCAACCUCACCCUUCCUUGUUUUACCCGCCUAUAUACCGCCGUCGUCAGCUUACCCUGUGAAGGUUUAAUAGUAAGCAAACUGGUAG
rnacentral:rRNA from 1 species